rnacentral:rRNA from 1 species
GUGGGGAAUAUUGGGCAAUGGGGGAAACCCUGACCCAGCGACGCCGCGUGGGUGAUGAAGGCCUUCGGGUCGUAAAGCCUUGUCAGGAGGAACGAAUGUUUUUAGAGUAAAUAGCUCUAAAAAGUGACGGUACCUCUGAAGGAAGCACCGGCCAACUCCGUGCCAGCAGCCGCGGUAAGACGGAGGGUGCAAGCGUUGCUCGGAAUCAUUGGGCGUAAAGGGUGCGUAGGCGGCUUUUUAAGUCUGACGUGAAAGCCCAGGGCUUAGCCUUGGAAGUGCGCCAGAAACUGGAAGGCUAGAGUGCCGGAGGGGAGAGUGGAAUUCCUGGUGUAGCGGUGAAAUGCGUAGAUAUCAGGAGGAAUACCGGUGGCGAAAGCGACUCUCUGGACGGCAACUGACGCUGAGGCACGAAAGCGUGGGGAGCAAACAGGAUUAGAAACCCUGGUAGUCC